rnacentral:rRNA from 1 species
CACAUGCAGUCGAACGGAAACGAUAAAGAGCUUGCUCUUUAGGCGUCAAGUGGCGGACGGGUGAGUAACGCGUGGGAACCUACCCUUUAGUUGGGGACAACAUAUGGAAACGUAUGCUAAUACCGAAUAUGCUCUACGGAGUAAAGAUGCCCUCUUCUUGAAAGGUAUCGCUAAAGGAUGGGCCCGCGUUAGAUUAGCUAGUUGGUAAGGGAAAGGCUUACCAAGGCGACGAUCUAUAGCUGGUUUGAGAGGAUGAUCAGCCACACUGGAACUGAGACACGGUCCAGACUCCUACGGGAGGCAGCAGUGGGGAAUAUUGCACAAUGGAGGAAACUCUGAUGCAGCCAUGCCGCGUGUGUGAAGAAGGCCCGAGGGUUGUAAAGCACUUUCAAUAGUGAGGAAAGGUAUAAAGUUAAUACCUUUAUGCUGUGACGUUAACUAUAGAAGAAGCACCGGCUAACUCUGUGCCAGCAGCCGCGGUAAUACAGAGGGUGCAAGCGUUAUUCGGAAUUACUGGGCGUAAAGCGCGCGUAGGCGGACUUUUAAGUCAGUUGUGAAAGCCCUGGGCUCAACCUAGGAACUGCAAUUGAAACUGGAAGUCUAGAGUUUAAGAGAGGCAAGGGGAAUUCCAGGUGUAGCAGUGAAAUGCGUAGAUAUCUGGAGGAACAUCAGUGGCGAAGGCGCCUUGCUGGCUUAAAACUGACGCUGAGGUGCGAAAGCGUGGGUAGCGAACGGGAUUAGAUACCCCGGGUAGUC